GACGUAGGGCGCGAGCGUUGUCCGGAUUUACUGGGCGUAAAGGGCGCGUAGGCGGCACCGCAAGUCGACUGUGAAAUCUCCGGGCUAACUCGGAAAGGUCAGCCGAUACUGCGGGGCUAGAGUGCAGAAGGGGCAACUGGAAUUCUCGGUGUAGCGGUGAAAUGCGUAGAUAUCGAGAGGAACACCUGCGGCGAAGGCGGGUUGCUGGGCUGACACUGGACUGGAUGCGCAAAGCUAGGGGAGCGAA
rnacentral:rRNA from 1 species